rnacentral:rRNA from 1 species
GAUGAACGCUAGCUACAGGCUUAACACAUGCAAGUCGAGGGGAAACGACAUCGAAAGCUUGCUUUUGAUGGGCGUCGACCGGCGCACGGGUGAGUAACGCGUAUCCAACCUGCCCACCACUUGGGGAUAACCUUGCGAAAGUAAGACUAAUACCCAAUGAUAUCUCUAGAAGACAUCUGAAAGAGAUUAAAGAUUUACCGGUGAUGGAUGGGGAUGCGUCUGAUUAGCUUGUUGGCGGGGUAACGGCCCACCAAGGCUACGAUCAGUAGGGGUUCUGCGAGGAAGGUCCCCCACAUUGGAACUGAGACACGGUCCAAACUCCUACGGGAGGCAGCAGUGAGGAAUAUUGGUCAAUGGACGGGAGUCUGAACCAGCCAAGUAGCGUGCAGGAUGACGGCCCUAUGGGUUGUAAACUGCUUUUAUAAGGGAAUAAAGUGAGUCUCGUGAGACUUUUUGCAUGUACCUUAUGAAUAAGGACCGGCUAAUUCCGUGCCAGCCGCCGCAGUAA